GAACGUAUGGCUUAGUAGUGAGAGCGCUUGGACGGGUUCCAAGAGGCGCCGGUUCAAAUCCCGCUAUUUUCA
rnacentral:tRNA from 1 species